GAGUGGUGGUGGGCUCGGCACAGCGCUGCUGCUAUUUCUACAUAUUUAUGAAGGGGGAGAUGGAAGGUAAUUACGGCCCCUUCUCCGGAAUUAAUUUCACGAUGGGUUGGUGGCGGCGCUGGGGACGAGCCCUCCGCGGUGGGUGCGGGUGGCUGAGCUCUGCUGCGGGGAGACUGGGCACUGGCGCAUGCCAGGCAGUGGGAUUCAGCUCUGCAGGGCGCCCCGGGGUGUGGGGCAGCAUGUGGGGCGUCCUGUGGGACUGUGGAGCACCGGGGGUUGCCGUGGAAUGGAGCACCGUGGGGUACCACGGGAUGUGGCAUCACGGAGUGCUGUGGGACAAGGACAGCCACGGGCAGUGCCAAGCCCCAGCCCUGUGCUCCCAGCUGGCUGGGAGCUGGGAGUUAAAGAUGACCCAAAGCAGCAUCCCUGGAUGGGUGGCAGUGCCACUGGUGCCUCUAGUUCCUCAGGGACCCGGGGACUCCCUCCUGUCCCCAAGGUGGACCUGGCAGAGCCCUGGCUCCCAGCAGAAAUGGGGAUGGAACAGCAUCCCAGUGCCCACUCCCAUCCCAACACUGCCAAAACAAGACAGAAAUAAGUUUGGGAGGGAUAUCCCAUCCCAAACUGACGUGCCACCCAGUCUUGGGAGCCAUCCUGUCUCUGGAUCAGCACCAAUCCUGCCAGCCCAGCACAACUGCCUGUGUUUGGGUGCCCACCUGGGGAGGAGGGCACAGAGAAGGGGCCUCCCGGGCUGCCAAGGUCCUCACAUUCCCUUUUCCAGGAUCGCCUCCAUGCCCCCCACAGCCUCCCCAGUGCCCGGGGAGCCACCGGGGUUAAAUAUUCAGGAGCACUCGCUGUGCACAUUUUGUAAAGAUCAAGCGGCUCCCAGGCCCGGCAAUUCCCUUCCCCUGCUGCCGGGGAUGCGCCUUAAUGAGUUUGCAGAAUGAUACAUUUUUAAAGUCAUUAUUUCCGGACAUGUUCAAAGUUCCAGCAUUUCCUCCGCUCCAGUUGUGCAGGAGGGCACCCCACUGUGCCCUCCCCGCGGGGACCUGGAUCCUGCCGGGGGGGGCACGGAGGGGGUCACCCACAGGGAGGGGGCACGGGGGGUUGUGGGGGGCACGAGGGGCUGUGGGGAUGGAGCAAGGAGGGGUCUCUGAGGGGAUGGACCCCCCGUCUCCUCCUGGCUCUGCCACAGGUCUCUGCGUGGCCUGGGUGUGCCUGAGGACACUGAUCCCUGUCCUGCCUGGGGAUGUGGGGACAUGGAUCCCUGCCCUGCCUCAGGGCAGUGGGGAUAUUGAGCCUUGUCCUUCCUGGGAAUAUGGGGGCACUGAUCCCUGUAUUCCCUAUUGGAAAUAGGGACACUGAUCCCUGUAUUCCCUAUUGGAAAUAGGGACACUGAUCCCUGUAUUCCCUAUUGGAAAUAGGGACAUUGAUCCCUGUCCUUCCUGGGGACACUGAUCCCUGCCCUACCUGGGGCAUGUGAGACAUGAUCCCUACCCUUGGGACACGGUGACACGGAUCCUUUCCCUGCUUUGGGACAUGGGAGCACUGAUCCCUGCCUUGCCCGGGGACAUGGGGACAUGGAUCCCUGACUAGUAGAAAUGGGAAUAUUGAUCCCUGCCCUGCCUGGGGCCAUGGGAGCACUCAUCCCUGCCCUGCCUCACGGCAACAGGGAGGGGAUAUUGAUCCCUGUCCUUCCUGGGGCCAUGGGAGCACUGAUCCCUGCCCUGCCUAAGGGUUUGGGGACAUGGAUCCCUGCCCUGCCUGGGGCUGUGGAGAGAUGCUUAUCCCUUCCGUGCCAGGGGACACGGGGAUUCUGCUCUGUGCUGUGCCCAGGGGCAGCCCAGCAGCAGCUCCCGUUGCUCUCGGCUCGCUGUGCACAGGCAGGUGCAGGGGCAGGGCCCCAACCCCCUGCAGAGCCCACCAGCAGCAGCCCCCUGGUAAUUGUGGGUCUGCCUGCACUUAAUCACAGCCUUCGGAGCAGGCAGAGGGAGCAGCAGCUGGGAAGUGCCAUGGAAACCACCCCAGAGCUGCACCCCGGGCUGGGCAGUGGGCUCCUGGUACCCACCAGCUGCCUCCUGCCUCCCUUCCCACAGCACCAUCCCGCCUUCCCGGCGCUUCUCUCCACUCUCCAGUGCUCCCUCUCUCCCCCUGCCCACCCUCUGCUCCAGUCCCUGCUUCCUGCUUGGGAACACACAGGAUUAUUUCAGGUUUCAAGAGGUAUUUCAGUUCUGGGAGGGAUGAAAUGUGAGGCACCGGGGUUUGAUGAGCUGGGGGUGAGACUUGGGGUAGAAAUUUGGGGACUGGCAAUGCCUACCACGUGCCACCCCUGAUGUCCUGACGUGCUGCCCUCCUGUGCCAACUGCACGUGUCCCAAGCCUGUGCCAAAUCCUCACCCUUCACCUGGGUGUGGGCAGCUGCCCCUCGGCCACCAGCUUUGUGCUGCCGGGUUUGUUCCAUGACAGGGGCUGCGUCUGUGACUUCAGGACUUGCAUCCAGGGAGAAUUCCAGGGCACUAGGUGCCUGUGGUGCCAGCCUGGGUGUUGGGUGACCACUGACUCCUGCAGACUCACCUCUGUGCUGUGGGACAUGAUGUACCUGGGGUAGGUGCUGCAAAUCUCGCCCAUGCCAUGGGGUCCCCACGGGGAUGAAGUGGUGGAAAUGGGGAUUGAGUGCCUGCCUGGAGCUACAGGCAGGGAGGGCAGGGCAGGCGGAGAAUUCCAGGGACCACCACCUUGUCCCUCCCCACACCUGCCAUGGCCAGUGAAGGGAUCCUGGGGAGGGGGCACAAACCAGCACGUGCUGCUCUGUGUGAAGUAGUGGCACUAUCUUACCAGGAUGCAGCUUUUAGGGACACUUCUCAGCCUCUCCAUGGCCUUGGAAGCUGCUGGUUCCAUAGUCUUCCCCCACAUGGAGUCUGGCAACUUUGGAAGAGGUUACUGUGGACAUGAGGAUCUUUGUAGCCAGCCCACCUGCCCUCCCUCCAGCCCAGAGAGGGCACCUGGGGGCUUCCUUGCCAUCUGCGACCCCACACACGUUGUCCCCACUCGUGGUCACGGAGGUGGGAGUGCAGGAAUCACCUGGGGGAUGCCAACAAACCAGAGCUCUGUGGGAAUCCUGACCCCAUGGGCUGUGUCUGGUGGUGUGACCUGGGGGACACCAGUGGUGUGGCCACCAGAGCCAGCAGCCCAGGUGAGCAGAGCUGUGGGAUCGAUCCCUGGGGAGAUCCAGAGGGAGAGGGCGGGGGGUAGGACACAGAGCAUCACCUGGCAGAGCCAGGGGUGAUGAUGAUGCCCUGGAAGGGUGGGGGGCAGCAGGGCUUGCCCUGGCUUCCUACCUGGAAGACUCAACAACUGUGCAGGAUAUUUGGCAGAUGCUUGGACUCCACUAUGCACCCAAAAACUGGGCAGGAGCAUCAGCACUGGUGGCAGGUGGGGAAGCCUGUGGGGGAGUUUUGGGAUGCAUUCCUUCUCACAGCAUGCCAUUGCUGCCUGGACACCUCGGCGUGGCUCCAGAUGGGUCAAGUCCAUCAGGUGGGGGCUCUCUUCUCCCACGGAUUGGGGUCCCUGUGUGGUCUCGGACCCGGCUUUGUCAGGACAGGCAGCAGGAAGGCUCUGCAGCCACAUCCUAAACUGCACCGGGAGAUGGAGAGAUAACGGUGCCUCCAGGCCUUCGGUAAAUUAUCUUGCCUGUAUGUUCAUUAAUCAACAAUUCUUAUGUAAACAGACACAUCCCCAGCCCUCUGCUUCCCAUCACCCUGGCAACAGCACAGAGCCGACCCUCUGCUCAGGAUGUGCUCUGGGCUCCCACCUGCUCUGCAACUCCUUCCCUGCCCGCAACUUUUUUCCUGCUGCCUUUGCUUCCACACCUUUUCAUCCCCUGGGACUUGAAAAAGUCUUCAGGUGCCUCUUGCCCAGCGUUGGAUCCUGGAUCUCCCCAGCAUUAGAUCCUGAACCUCCCCAUCCUGGGAUCCUGGAUCUCCCCCUCUCCAGCAGCUGCUGAGGCAGGAGCUGGGAAGCAGUGGGGUGAUGAGGACUGGACUUCCCUGCCAUCCUCCCUGGCCAGUGCCAGGCCAUGUCCCGGAGAACACAGCCCUUAGGGAUGAGUGCUGGAUGCAGGAAUCAUGGCAAGGGCCAGCCAGACCCACGGCAAUGCUGCCAAAACCUCAGCCGGGCUCACACUGUGCUGUGGGUCCAGCAGUGACCACGACGUGCAUCUCUGACCCCCCCUCCGACAUCCAUCACCUUUCCCUGCCUUAUUCCUGUCCAGAUGGUCUCUCUGGGAAGCUCUCACAGUGCAAUGGGAGGAUAUUCCGUCCUGCUGACUCCAUCAGGACCCUCUACCAGGACAAGGAGAAGUCCUGGAGCUCUCUCCGGAUCCAGGCAGGAGCUGCCAGAGGAAUGUGCUUCAGGCAGGGCACUGCUGCCUCCCAGGGCUGCCCCCCAGCAGGACAGCUCUGCUGUGGAAUAGAAAAGCUCUGCAUGGAAGCUGAUAGAAGCCAGAGGAGCCCAAGUCAUUUAAGGUUGAAGAGAAAUGUUAAAGACGGCAGGAAAAGCAAACAUUAGUGGUAGCCAUGAGGCUAAGGGGAAUAGGAAGGGCUUUUACAAAUAUAUCAAGGGGAAAAGGAAAUACUGGAGAGUCAAGACAAAGUGGGCCCAUUAAUAAAUGAGGAAGGAUAUUAAAUUAAUGAUGAUUCUCAAAUGGCUGAGUUAGUGAACUACUUAUUGAGAUCUGCCUUUAACAAGAACAACAAGGGAAAGUGGCUGAGACAAUCAGAAAGCAGCGAAGGAUGCUGGAAUUGUCCUAGAUGGAGCAAGGGGAAGGGGACAGCUGGGCUAUGAGCCCCGGAUGGCAAGUGCCUGGGGUCAAGCAGCACUAGGAAAAGCCCACCCCAUCCAUCUCUUCCUCGGCAGGAGCAGAGGGAAUGUGUGUUUGGAGCAGACCAGUGCUUGGCAAAAGGCCCAGAGUAAAUAAGGGGUCUGUGGGGACCACGUCCCCUUGCCUUGGAGUGGGACAGGACCACGGCAGAGCUGGAAGGGAGACUCCCAGGAGCCCCAGGCACAGCCUGUGCUCCACAGAUCUGGGCUUGGAGACUGCCAGGGAAGAGCCUGGAUGGAAAUGGGGAGGGGGAAGAGGUCCAGACAGCUGGACCUGGUUCAUUAGAGUUUGUCCUUGUACAGUAAGAUCCUCCAAGAUGCCCUGGUGCUGUUUAUCCUCCCAUUUCAUUGGCACUGAACAAACAAGUGACUGCCCAGCCCAAGGUCGCUCCUGUGCCCAGAGGAAAAGCUCUGGGAAGAGAAUUUUCUGUCCUUCUAGGAAGCCUGAGAAAUCCCCAAAGAUUCUUCUGCUGCCACAGCCUGAGGGAUGGCUGGGAACGGUGUCCCACAGGAGCUGCACGGUGGCAGUGCCCACCCUCAGCCAGCCGGGAGCAGGCGUCCCGUGGAUGUGCCAUCUGACAAAGGGCUCUGUGGGGGACAAUGUCCGGGCAGUGAGGGCCCUUGUCAAUGUUUUAUGGGCCCAGGCAUCCCCAGGGUGUGUUUACGGGGCAGUAAAUUAAAGCACUCAGCCAAGUGACAUUUGUGUUCUGCAAAUGCGAUUAUUAUGCAUGAUUAGCAGCCAAGUGCACUGAAAAACCCACACUCAGGGCGGGCAGGAGCGGGACGCCCGCCUGGCCCGCGGCUCCUCAUGCCGGAGAUGCACCCCGGGCAGGCACCUUUUCCCUGGAAAAGCCUUUCUGCGGGACAACAGCGAGCCUGGCAUGGGCAGAGACCCUGGAACCACCACCUUGCCCCUCAGCUGGCUGCUCCCCCCCUCCCCAAUCCCAGCCUGCCGGAGAUGGACCGUGCCAGCCCAGGACUUAAAAGAUUUCCUUCCCAGCUGCCAGCCCGACUUUCCAGAGGAAUGCAUCCAAACCCACUUUUAUUUUUAAUUAUUUAUCUGUAACCAAUUUGGCAGGAAAACCAAUUAAACGAGUGGGUGAUUAAUGACCUGCUGAUUUGCA